rnacentral:tRNA from 1 species
GGCAGGGUAGAGGAGUUCGGUCGUCCUCGCCGGUCUCAUAAGCCGGAAACCGUGGGUUCGAAUCCCACCCCUGCAUCCA